rnacentral:lncRNA from 1 species
AAUAUCAGUGUCUUAGAACAAGACAAUCCUAGUGAUCACAAAAAGAGACCAGCAAGGUUCUGUGCAUCUUGAAUACAGUGUAUGGAUACUCUGACUCUCUGUCUUUGAUGUUGGGUAAUUAUUUAUUUCUAUGCAGACUGGACUCUAAAUGCUGCUGAACUGGAAUUCAGUUGUCCUGUGUUGCUCAGCAAGUGUGAACAGACCACUCCUGAAAGACAUACCACUCCUCUGAAGCAGACUGUCCUUGUACCUCAGAAAAUGGAGACAUUAAUUCACAAAUUAGUGUGGCAUUACUAAAACAAACUCCACCCUCUUCUGAAAGAAUGAGUUUUGAAUUGUGAACCAUCCAGUCUACUUCUGCCUUCAGAAAAUGAAACAUCACAAACUUCAGAAACUUAAGAACUUGUUAGCUUGAACUCCAUCUCUAAGAAGGGGACAUGGGAAAGGACCUUUCCCACCAAGUCUUAAAUUAAUUCUUUAAGCUGUGAACCAGUUAAUCCUGUCUUUAUUAUUGUUGUAGCACAAACUGACUCAAUGGGAUGUCUGGACUGAACCAGAGGCAAGAACCUCUCCUCCCAAGCAGAGAGGAUUCCUGGGAGAAGCUCAUGCUGGAAUGCAGAAGGGAGUGGGCAAACCCAAAACACUGAGGCAUCAAACACACCAGAGGUGGCUUUUUGGUUCACUCCUGCAGAUAGAUUAUGCAGACAUGUUCAGCAUAUGGAGCAGAACAGAUCCCAACUCUGUUCAAUCAAAUGCAAAGUACCUUCAUGUGCUGCUGCUUCAGAGUGUGAACUCCCAGAGAAGGCAACGCAUUGAAGUGUAUUAUGAACUGAGAGCAUGAAAACACCCAGGUAGUCUUGGAAAAAUCAAGUUAAUCAGUAAGUAUUCACUGGAGUUGGCAGGCAAGCACAUUUUACAAAUGCUUGUUUCAUAAAUAUUUAUUUUAAGAAUUGAAUUUUGGGAGUUUUUAGACAAAAGAAGCCAUAAAACAGUGAAGAGAAACUUCAAGAUUGAAAUUCUUGUGUGUGUGAUUUUUUAUUUUUUGCUUUAUAUUUCUUAUAAUUUCUUUUCUUCUUUUUGAUUUUGAAAGAACUGAAGAAACUAAAAUCUACAAAAACCAGUCUCAGGCAGAACGCAGAGCCAGCAUCAGGUAUCCAGAAGAAUGAGUCAGUAAUAGAGAAACCUACAGCUUGUAACCAAAAUGCCUGGAGCUGUUUGCACUAAGUUAUCCUGAAUAAACUAUGUGUUGUGUAUUUCCUGAAGAGCA